rnacentral:rRNA from 1 species
AGUUUGAUCAUGGCUCAGGAUGAACGCUGGCGGCGUGCUUAACACAUGCAAGUCGAACGGAAAGGCCCUGCUUGCAGGGUACUCGAGUGGCGAACGGGUGAGUAACACGUGGGUGAUCUGCCCUGUACUUUGGGAUAAGCCUGGGAAACUGGGUCUAAUACCGAAUAUGACCAAUUGYUUGGAUGSGRUKGUGGAAAGCUUUUGCGGUAUGGGAUGAGCUCGCGGCCUAUCAGCUUGUUGGUGGGGUAAUGGCCUACCAAGGCGUCGACGGGUAGCCGGCCUGAGAGGGUGUWCGGCCACAUUGGGACUGAGAUACGGCCCAGACUCCUACGGGAGGCAGCAGUGGGGAAUAUUGCACAAUGGGCGCAAGCCUGAUGCAGCGACGCCGCGUGGGGGAUGACGGCCUUCGGGUUGUAAACUCCUUUCGCAACCGACGAAGCUUUKGUGACGGUAGGUUGAGAAGAAGCACCGGCUAACUACGUGCCAGCAGCCGCGGUAAUACGUAGGGUGCGAGCGUUGUCCGGAAUUACUGGGCGUAAAGAGCUCGUAGGUGGUUUGUCGCGUCGUUUGUGGAAUACCGCAGCUUAACUGCGGGGUUGCAGGCGAUACGGGCAUAACUUGAGUGCUGUAGGGGAGACUGGAAUUCCUGGUGUAGCGGUGRAAUGCG